rnacentral:rRNA from 4 species
UUAAAUUGAAGAGUUUGAUCAUGGCUCAGAUUGAACGCUGGCGGCAGGCCUAACACAUGCAAGUCGAACGGUAACAGGAAGCAGCUUGCUGUUUCGCUGACGAGUGGCGGAC